CAAAUAUUGAUGCUCUUUUGGUCUCCUCAGGACGCUCAGCAUGUAGAGUCGCAGAGGAUGAUGCUGCAGGUUCUAAAUUAAUUCUGAGCUGUUCAACAAGGUUGUGACAAACAAAAGAGAAAAUAUUGUCAGGUUGUUAUAAAUGCUGAUCAGAAAAGGCGUUGCUUGCCUCUUCACCAUGACAGCCGAAAUGACUUUCCUGUUGUUGGCUUUGAUCCUUUUUCCUUUCAUUGUCCAAACACAAAUCUGCCCUGAUGGGUUCAAGGGGAAAGACCAAAAGUGUGUUGGUAU